CAUGGAGCCCCACUUGGGGGCUUGAUCCCAGGACCCCCGGGACCAUGACUGGAGCUGAAGGUUGUCCUGCCAGGAAUGCUCCAUCCCCUGUUGAGCCACCGAAUAAACAUCAACUCAUCCUUCAGGAACCUGGAACCUUCUUAGACACGUGGCUUCAAUCACCAUGUAUAUUCUGAGAAUGCUCAAAGCUAGGUCUCCACCUCAGAAGUGUUUAUUGAUUCCUAGAUUUAUACAGUCUGCUGCACACAAGGAAUUUCCACAUCUGAUCUCACCAAUUACUCCUUCACCUGUUUCCUCCUCUUGGAAUUCUCAAUCUGGGUGAAAGGCUCUUCCUUCUACCUAGUUUUCCAAGACAGAAACCUGGAAUCUCCUGGACUCCCCCGUUUUUUCCUCCUUUUUCCAUGUAAAGGCAGAAUUCAAGCUUUGUACUUAUUUCCACCCAAAUUUCUUUCUACUCUGCCUGCCUGCCUGUCUGCAUUCCCCCUGCCACUGCCUUAGCUCAGGCCAGCAUUUCUUUCUUCUUUCUUUCUUUCUUUCUUUCUUUCUUUCUU